rnacentral:rRNA from 1 species
UACAGAGGUGCCAAGCGUUAGGCGGAAUCACUGGGCUUAAAGCGCGUGUAGGUGGGUCGUUAAGUGUCCGCGUGAAAUCCCACGGCUCAACCGUGGAACUGCCGGGCAUACUGGCGAUCUUGAGGCAUUCAGGGGCGAGCGGAACAAAUGGUGGAGCGGUGAAAUGCGUAGAUAUCAUUUGGAACGCCAAUGGUGAAAACAGCUCGCUGGGAAUGAUCUGACACUGAGACGCGAAAGCCAGGGGAGCGGACGGG